UAAGUGUGCCAGUUUGUGAUGGUUGAGGGGAAAUGUGAGGUUAUAGCAAAGAAUGACAUUCCAAAUUCAAAUCUUCCGGUAGUGGUUGAGCAUGCCUUUUACUGUGAACAUUUAUAUGAUCCUGAUGCUGGAGCUCUUAAGCAGCUACCGACAAAUGUUAAGCUCAUGACCUUGACAAGGAAGGCGCAUGCUGCAAAAAAGAAUGAAGGCAAGUAGAUUUGUGACGAUGAGCAAGCUGGUUCAGACAAACAGAACGCAACACCAGAGAACUGUCUUGCAACCCUUGAUAUUUUUGCUGGCUGUGGAGGUUUGUCUGAAGGGUAGUAGCUAUCUGUACUGGCGCACCAUGUACAAAUUGGGCAAUUGGAUAUGAAGAACCUGCCAGGCAAGCAUUUGGUGAAAAUCAUCCAGAGGCAGUGGCAUUAGUGGAGAACUGCAAUGUGAUUCUAAAGUUGUGGUCAGGGAGGCAAAGCGAAGGGCAACCUCCGGAGUGUCGCGGAAGAGUGGUGUGAGUAGAGGGUGUCGCGGAAGAGUGUCACGCAAAUAAGUGGGUGGGGGAAGGAAGCAGAGCAGGCAAUGCCCCUAUUUAUAUUUGGCGUUGGCAUGUCCAGAUCGAUGGGCCAAAG